UUGGGCCUUAGUCAAAGUAGUGCACUAUAAAUGGAAUAGGGUGCCAUUUGGGAUGCCACCUGACAGAGAAUAAAUCAUAAAAGAGAAACUUAUGCAGAUCAUUUGAUGAGGAGCUCAUAGAAGCCUCAACACUGAAGAAGACAAGCAGCAACCAUUUUGAGGGAAUAUCAAUACAACCAUGGAACGUGGGGUGUUUCUCAUCAUAAUUUUUUCAGGAAUAGGCAGCAUCUACACUGCAACAAGCACAACUGCAGAUCCUAAUAUGACAACCACAACUGAGGUUCCUGCUACGACAAUCACAGCUGCAGCUCCUACUACGACAAUCACAGCUGCAGCUCCUACUACGACAACCACAGCUGCAGCUCCUACUACGACAA